rnacentral:tRNA from 1 species
GGGAGUAUAGUUUAAUUCUGGUAAAAUAUAUGUUUUGCACACAUAAGAUUAUCGGUUCAAGUCCGAUUAUUUCCA